AAAAAAAUAAAAAAUAAAAAAAAUAAAAAAAUUUGUCUCUUUGAAAAAUUAUUAUGUAUUGUUACUAUUGUCAGACAAGGCCAAAAAUCAGAGAAAAAAAAAGAAGAAGAGGCAAAAAAUUAGAGAAAAAGGAAAAAAAGAUGAAUGUUGCAAUGUUAAAAUUAAAUUGCACUAUUUAAAAAAAAAAAUUGCACUGUUUAAAGUGAAUGUUAUACUCUUUAAAAUAAAAAUUACACCAUUUCGCCAAAUUUUACACUAUUUCAUCCGAAAUUGCACCGUUUCUCCUUCUUCUCCUCUUCCUCUUCCUUUUUCUUUUUUACACCAUUACACCAUUACACCGUAAUAACAAAAAUCUCCUAAAAACCGAGCCGGAUUUACCUACGUCGCCGCCUCGCCCCAUCCCUCCUCCGCCGCCUUCGCCACUCCCAUUCGAGCAC
rnacentral:lncRNA from 1 species